rnacentral:lncRNA from 1 species
ACAUAGAGAAAGGAUAUGGCCAUGGCGAAAAUUUUCAUUGCUCUUUUAGUUGUAGUUUCACUUUCUAUUGCAUCAGCAUCUAUUAACAGUAAUGGUACUUUCUCUCUUGCCACUUUUUAGAUUAUUUGUUUUUCACCUAUCAUUAUUGAAAUUCUAAAAUCCCUCAUCUUGUGUGUGCGCACGUGUAUAACUGUGUGAUUGUUUUGUGUAUCCAUAUACAUACAUAUAUACAUACGAUAUCUAUAUUUUAUAAAUUCUAGUAUAUAUCACCUUUAUAUGUAUAUGACUUAGAUAAUUAUCCAUAUCGUACUUUAUUUCCAAUGGACUAAUUGUUUUGAUUUAAUUUUUUGCAGAUGGUUCCAAAAUCGACAUUCCACCAAGUUGCAUUUUAUUCUGUGAUCCCAGAACAUUUCCUGAUGAUUUAUGUGACUUCAGUUGCAAAAACACACACCAUAAGGGUGGC